rnacentral:rRNA from 1 species
UUGUUGGCGGGGUAACGGCCCACCAAGACAUCGAUGGAUAGGGGUUCUGAGAGGAAGGUCCCCCACAUUGGAACUGAGACACGGUCCAAACUCCUACGGGAGGCAGUAGUGAGGAAUAUUGGUCAAUGGACGAGAGUCUGAACCAGCCAAGUAGCGUGAAGGAUGACUGCCCUAUGGGUUGUAAACUUCUUUUAUAUGGGAAUAAAGUGAGCCACGUGUGGCUUUUUGUAUGUACCAUACGAAUAAGGAUCGGCUAACUCCGUGCCAGCAGCCGCGGUAAUACGGAGGAUCCGAGCGUUAUCCGGAUUUAUUGGGUUUAAAGGGAGCGUAGGCGGACUAUUAAGUCAGCUGUGAAAGUUUGCGGCUCAACCGUAAAAUUGCAGUUGAUACUGGUCGUCUUGAGUGCAGUAGAGGUAGGCGGAAUUCGUGGUGUAGCGGUGAAAUGCUUAGAUAUCACGAAGAACUCCGAUUGCGAAGGCAGCUUACUGG